AUUGAACGCUGGCGGCAUGCCUAACACAUGCAAGUCGAGCGGACGAACGGAGCUCGUUCCUCUAUUCAGCUGCGGACGGGCGAGUAAUUCCUACGAAUCUGCCCUGCAUUUAGGGAUAACGUCCGGACACGAGCGCUAAUACCGUACACGUCCAUAUGUUGAAAGUCGUGGAUCUUCGGACCUCACGCUAUCUGAUGAGCCUAGGUCGGAUUAGCUAGUUGGUGUGGUAAAGGCCUACCAAGGCGACGAUCCGUAACUGAUCUGAGAGGAUGAUCAGUCACACUGGAACUGAGACACGGUCCAGACUCCUACGGGAGGCAGCAGUAGGGAAUAUUGGGCAAUGGGCGAAAGCCUGAUCCAGCCACGCCGCGUGUGUGAAGAAGGCCUUCGGAUUGUAAAGCACUUUAAGUUGGGAAGAAGAAAAGUAAGUUAAUACCUUGCUGUUUUGACGUUACCAAAAGAGUAAGCACCGGCUAACUACGUG
rnacentral:rRNA from 1 species